rnacentral:tRNA from 1 species
GGGCUGGUAGUUUAGUCCGGUAGAAUACCUGCCUUGCAUGUAGGUGGUCGUGGGUUCGAAUCCCACCCAGUCCA